GGGAUUAGAUACCCCACUAUAUAAAAUAAUUAAAAUUAAUUUAUAAGUAAAUGUUAAAUCAUUAAAAUUAAAUUAUAUGGCGGCUUUUCAUUCUUAUUAGAGAAAUUUGUAGUUUAAUUUGAUAAUCCACGAUAAGAUUUACUUAAAUUAGACUUAUAUAUUGUUGUUAAUUUUUAUUUUAAAUAAGUUUUAAAUUAAUAUUUAAUUUAAUAGUUAAUCAAAUCAAAAUGUAGUAUAUUUAAGAAUUUAUGAAUUAUAAAAAAUUUUAUUUUUGGAUAAUUAAUUUUAAUAUUAAUUUGAAAGAGGAUUUAAAAGUAAAUUUAAUUAAUUAAUUAAAUUGAAAUUAGUUUUGAAAAGUGUACAGAUUGCCCGUCAAUUUCGAUUAUGGAAUAAGUCGUAACAUA
rnacentral:rRNA from 1 species